rnacentral:rRNA from 1 species
AGCGAACGCUGGCGGCAGGCCUAACACAUGCAAGUCGAACGAAGUCUUCGGACUUAGUGGCGGACGGGUGAGUAACACGUGGGAACGUGCCCUUUGGUACGGAAUAACUCAGGGAAACUUGAGCUAAUACCGUAUGUGCCCUUCGGGGGAAAGAUUUAUCGCCAUUGGAGCGGCCCGCGUCUGAUUAGCUAGUUGGUGAGGUAAUGGCCUACCAAGGCAACGAUCUGUAGCUGGUCUGAGAGGACGAUCAGCCACACUGGAACUGAGACACGGUCCAGACUCCUACGGGAGGCAGCAGUGGGGAAUAUUGGACAAUGGGGGAAACCCUGAUCCAGCAAUGCCGCGUGAGUGAUGAAGGCCUUAGGGUUGUAAAGCUCUUUCGCAGGGGAAGAUAAUGACGGUACCCUGAUAAGAAGCCCCGGCUAACUUCGUGCCAGCCGCCGCAGUAAUAC